GGCGAGUAGAGCGGCGAAAGGACUAGUAAUGCGUUUCUAUGUACCCCAUGGUCGGGGAUAGCCCGGGGAAACCCGGAUUAAUACCCGACGCCCUCUUCGGAGGAAAGAUUUAUCGCCAUGGGAGCAGGGAACGUCCUAUCAGGUAGUUGGUGAGGUAAUAGCUCACCAAGCCUUAGACGGGUAGCGGGUGUGAGAGCAUGACCCGCAGUAUCGGGACUGAGACACUGCCCGGACUCCUACGGGAGGCUGCAGUAACGAAUAUUCCGCAAUGCACGAAAGUGUGACGGAGCAAUGCCGCGUGCAGGAUGAAUCCCCUCGGGGUGUAAACUGCUGUCAGUGACUAGAAAAAAAAUGAUCAGUCGCAAAGGAAGGACCGGCUAAUCUCGUGCCAGCAGCCGCGGUAAUACGAGAGGUCCGAGCGUUACGCGGAAUUACUGGGCUUAAAGCGUACGUAGGCGGAUCUACAGGUAUCCUGUGAAAGCCCACGGCUCAACCGUGGAAUUGCAGGGUAAACCGUAGAUCUUGAGGUGGCUAGGGGCUCUCGGAACGGUAGGUGGAGUGGUGAAAUGCGUUGAUAUCUACCGGAACGCCAAAGGGGAAGCCAGGGAGCUGGGGCCAUUCUGACGCUGAGGUACGAAAGCGUGGGUAGC
rnacentral:rRNA from 1 species